ensembl:lncRNA
GGCCGCACAGGCGCUUCGAAAAAGCGCUCAGACUGGCAGGGUUGGACCGAACCUCACUGAACACGUCGCACCCCGGGGCGCCGGGGAACGCAGUGGGUGCACCUCGGGCUGCAAUUGGCUGGAGCGUGCACGUGACGCCAAGCCCCCCCAACCCUCGCCGUCCUCCUACCCACGGAAACACCAACGACAGCCUCUUAACACCUUGCGCCAAGUACCCGCCACCCGGCGCAAAGGGACGGACGGAGCGCGUGGCGAGGAAGGCGCCUGCGCCUACCUGCAAGGCGGACGGUGGCCGGCCCACGCGCCGCGCGGCUCUGGGGUCGGGAAUCCUCGCACUGCCGGGCCGCGGGGCUAGUGAUUGGCUGUUAGGCCUGGUCACGUGCCGCUCGCGGUCCGCCCCUCCCCGCUAAUCACCUGGCACCGCGCUCGAAGCGGCGAUCUAAGUCGUUCGCACGCGGAGAGGGAGAGAAGUUGGAGGCCUUCUUCUCUUGCCUCCAUGGGGUUCUAUCCAUGAAGGAGGAACGAAAAGCUGGGUCCCAAAACUAAGUCUUGCUAAAUAUAGUCCAGGCUCACCGUGGCUGCCUCACUGCUCACUGAAUGCUGGACUGCAGGCUUCACCACCACUCCCUGGUCUACACGAUUUUUAAUGUAUUGAUACAUUUAAUUCUCACCAUCAUCUUAUAUGGUAAGUACUGUUGUUAGGACCAUUUUACAGGUAAGGAAACAAAGUCACUAAACCAUGAAAUAACUUUUUUCUUUUGAAACAGAGUCUCACUAUGCAGCCCAGGCUGGCCUCAAACUCUGAAUCCUCCUGUCUCAGCCUCCCGAGUGCUGGAAUUACAGGUGUCCAACAGCAGAAGUGAAAUGAUUUUAACAAGGCCAUGCAUCUGUUAAAUGGUAGAGCACACACUUAUGUGUACCUGUAACAUAGGGAGCAAGGUGAUUUUCCAGGAGUAAAAGGAGAACUGGCUGGAGAAAAGAGAAAGGGGAAAUUGGGGAGGUGAGAAUAUGAAAAGUUUAGAAUAGCCAGAGUGAAAACUAUGCUUCCGAGCAUCUCCUGUCUGCACCUGUGAUCCAGCCUCUCAACUUGAGACCCACCAUCGGAUUCCUGCACCUACUCCUUCAGCCUUCUCUGGCUGCUAAAGAUGAUUCCACCCUUCCAUUUGGAUUCUGGGGUCUGGGCCUACCCUUGGGGCAGGAUUCUCUUGGGGGAGCUGAAGGGGCAGAGAAUGAUUCUGGCUGUCAGAGACAGGACCUGACAUGACCCACAAAUCACGGCAUCCUUGCUGAACCUUUUAAAAGUGUAUGCUUAUUAAAAAAAAAAAAAAGUGUGUACUUAUGAUGGCCUUAGAACUGGAUUUCAGUAGACCCUGUGAUUUGUAGAAUAUUGUCUUAUUCAAAGUGACUUAAAAAGGAACAAGAGGGCUGGGAUUUAGCUCAGUGGUUCUGGAGCCUGCCUCACAAUUGCAAGGACCAGAGUUCGAUCCCUGGUACCAAAAAGAAAAAAAAAAAAAGAAACAAGAGACCCUGGAAUCUAGCUCAGUGGUGCCACCACACAAGGACCCAGGUUCGAUCCCUGGUACAAAAAAAGGAACAAGAGAGCUUCUCUCCCCUUCUCCCCCUCUCCCCCUCUCCCUCUCCCCUCUCCCCCUCCCCCUCUCCCCCUCCCCUUACACCCUCCCCCAUGUUUGGACCGCAUUUGUUAGCAAGUUCAUGCCUGGGGCAUGAACAUACAUGUUCACCUCCAGGUUGUCAGGGCCAGGCAAAAUUGAGAUAGGAAAGCACAAAAGGUCUCCAACCGCCUUAUCACAGCCUUUUGCAGGGUAUGGCAAUAGGGAGUGGCCCUAGAAGUGGGCUUUAGAAGAGGAGCAACAUGGGCUGGGGAUUUAGCUCAGUGGCACCUUGCCUGCCUUGCAAGCACAAGGUCCUGAGUUCCAUCCCCGGUACCGGAAAAAAAAAAAAGGAAGAGGACCAAUGAGACCUUUGUGUGGCACCUGAGGAGGCUGGGGGACUAGUGAAUUAGGGUCCUCCUCGUGUGGCCAAAACAGCCUGCUGCAGUGAUGGAGCAGAAGCCUCAGUGAGAUGAAAGCAAAUGGGGAAGAAGCCAAACAAGGGGAAGUGUGGCCGGAAAGGUGUGCCAUGGUGUUUCUGCUCUGCAUUGCCUGGUUGUCGUCCUUGCUUUGCAGUUGGCUGAUUAUGGUCUGAAACCUCUAUGAAUCGUAAGCCAAAUAAACCCCUUCCCCUUUGCCUUUGGAUGUCUGGUAUUUUGUUUCAGCAAUGAGAGCAAAGUAACUAACACAGACAUUUGGUACCAGAGAAGUGGGGUCGUUGCUGUGACAUUACUUGGCCAUGUGGCUCAAAAGCCUUUGGAACUGGCUUGUGGGAAGAAGAGUUAGGAAAGAUCCAGAGACAUUGACUACAGCAGCAGCUCUGGAACGUCUUAGGUUGUUCUGUAUGGGAGAUUCUGGUCAGAGCUCAGAAGACCAGAAAGCCAGUAGAGACCAGCUGUAGGAGGUUUUUUCUAGGAAGAAGGACUGCAUUGGCUGCUGGACUCCAGAAGAUGUUUGUUUUGACAUGACAGAAAGUUUUUCCGAAUUUUGCUCAUGUUCAGAGACUUUGCUGGAAGAUUCAGAGCUACCAGCUGAAAAAGUAGGGCUGAAACACCUUAGGCUGUUCUGUAUGGGAGAUUCUGGUCAGAGAUCAGAAGGCCAGAAAGCUUAUAAAGACCAGGCUGGGAAAGUUUCUGCUAGGAAGAAGGACUGCAUUGGCUGUUGGACUCCAGAUGAUAUAUGUUACGGCUUGGCAGAAAGUUUGUCUGCAUUUUGUUCAUGUCCAGAGACUUUGCCUGAGACUGAGAUUAAGGGUGGUGGUCUAAUUAAUCUUGCAGAAGAAAUUUCAAGGCAGUCGAAUAUUGAGGCAGUGGCAUGGCUGCUGUUGGGGGCUUUUAGCCAGGUCUAUGUGGAGAAUCAAGAGCAAAGAUUUAGUGCUUCCCCUGCCGGAUUUUGGACUUGCUUUGGUCCCUUUCCUUUGUGUCCUCCUGUCUGUACCUUCGGGAAUGGGAACGUCUACCUUGUGCCGUUGAACGUUGGAAGGGUUUGACUUCCUUUUCGGUUGCACAGCGGUUAAGAGCUUGGCUUAAAUCUCAGAGACUUUGGACUUGGGCUUUUCAGCAGUGCGGAAACGGUUAGGACUUGGCAGCCCUUAGGGACGGAGUGAAUGCCUUUGGUGUAAAGGAGCGUGCAUGAACCAAGACGCGUCGCGCACAGCUCUAGACCCAGCUUACAGUGAGCCUUAGAAAAAGGGUGUGUGGCAUGAACAUCCCACCUGGAUCAAUACAUGCUGAAUGUACAUAUAUCCUCUAUAUGCAUAGAUACGUACAUGCAUCCAAGGCCUGAAUUCUUGGUACAUCAUACAUCCGCAUAUGGAACAUAUGUGAUAUGAGUGGGGCCCAAAGUAACCUGGGCCAAUAUUUUAUUGGCCGGACAGCUCCAGACAUUAGAAGGAAGCUCCAAAAACUCCAACAGGCCCUCAGACAGGAGUGCAUCAACUGGUCAACUUGGCUUUCAUGGAGUUUAACAACGAGACGGAGAGGACAAAUGGGAAUUAAGUAAGGAAGACAGACUAAAGACAUGCUGGUCCUCACGCAUCAGGUCCAUAACAAAGUCCACAGCACCAAGGGGAUCCGGGGUAACCUACAAAGUGACAGAGGGAAGUCUGGGUACUUUAUGUGCAAGCAGUUGGGACACUGGGCUAAAGAGUGACCUCAAAAGCCCAAGUUCAUCAGAAUAGAGGUGAGGGAGGCUGAGGCAUGAGGAUCACCAUGAGUUAGUCUGAGGGCAGGCUGGGCUACAUAAUGAGACCCUGUCUCAAAAAAAAAAAAAAAAAAUGGGUGAGGACCCUUGGCACUGGAGGAGGGGCUGCCCUGGUUCCCAGA